CCUACGGGGGGCAGCAGUGGGGAAUUUNUGGCAAUGGGCGAAAGCCUGAUCCAGCCAUGCCGCGUGAGUGAAGAAGGCCUUCGGGUUGUAAAGCUCUUUCAGGUGGAAAGAAAUCACUACCCCGAAUACGGGUGGUGGAUGACGGUACCAUCAGAAGAAGCACCGGCUAACUACGUGCCAGCAGCCGCGGUAAUACGUAGGGUGCGAGCGUUAAUCGGAAUUACUGGGCGUAAAGCGUGCGCAGGCGGUUGUGUAAGACAGGUGUGAAAUCCCCGGGCUUAACCUGGGAAAUGCGCUUGUGACUGCACAGCUAGAGUAYGGCAGAGGGGGGUGGAAUUCCACGUGUAGCAGUGAAAAGCGUAGAGAUGUGGAGGAACACCGAUGGCGAAGGCAGCCCCCUGGGCCUGUACUGACGCUCAUGCACGAAAGCGUGGGGAGCAAACAGGAUUAGAUACCCUGGUAGUCCACGCCCUAAACGAUGUCGACUAGUUUUGGAGAGGAAACUUUCUGGGUAACGCAGCUAACGCGUAA
rnacentral:rRNA from 1 species